UACGUAGGAUGCGAGCGUUGUCCGGAAUUAUUGGGCGUAAAGAGAACGUAGGCGGUUUGCCAAGUUUGAUCUUAAAGACCGGGGCUUAACUCCGGGAGUGGAUCGAAAACUGGCAGACUAGAGGACGUCAGAGGAAAGUGGAAUUCCCAGUGUAGCGGUGAAAUGCGCAGAUAUCAGGAGGAACACCGAUGGCGAAGGCAGGUCUCUGGGCAUUAACUGACGCUGAGGAGCGAAAGCAUGGGGAGCGAACAGG
rnacentral:rRNA from 1 species